UCCCGCCCCCUCCCCGGGGACUCGAGGACACGGACGGUUACCAGAGGCGCGAGGCGCUGCGGAUAAUGGCCGCAGGUGGAAUAACAGCAGGGUACAGCCGGAGACAGCUGUAACAACAACAGAUGACACUCAAAUUUGACCUGAUGGUUUGUUUAGAGCACUUGAAAGGUCUGGAGAAAUUUUUGCUGGAGUACCAACUGGUAAGCCAGAGCUCUUCCAUGGCCUCUGUGUGCUCGUAACAACGCAGGUUCAAUAAGUAAUGCUUAACUGAUUGAAUUUCUGCGCACGAGACAGACAUCAAGGUGACGGCGCUGUUUGGGAGAGAGGUCCACAAAUAAGAGCAGGAAUGUGUGAAGCUUUGCUGCUGGUAUUCCAUGUCAACUGUUUGGAAUAAUACAGGAUGUUGAAGUGCAACUGCAUCAGCUCUUGUGUUCCUGGCAUAAACAUGGAGGCCUAGCUAAAGCGGAAACAACCCCUGCAAUACUGCUGCAGUCAUGAUAUUGAAGAAGACUGUCAGAAUGACAAUAUUUCACAGAUGUUACAAAGGAUGGAGUAUGCCAACUUAAUCUGAAUCAGUGGUCUAAAUUGCUUUGGACUGUUUUGAGUCCACAAGUAAAAGAUGGCUUCUCUGUAGCCUGCCAAACAAGGUCAGUUCCUACUAUCCCUUAUGUUCCAUCUCUGUGCAAGUGCAGACUUUGAAAUGCUCAAGUCUCCAGAAAGGUGGUGAGGUUUCUUGAGAAUUCCCACUUUUCUUCCAACACUUGGUGAAUAUCAGUCAGUUGCCAAUGCAACUCUGUUUAAAAGCUGAGUCACUAAUCAAAUCAAUGUCUCGGAAGAAUGCAUUUCCACAUCGGCUUCUAGCGUACUCGCACCUCUAGAUAACCAGUGUGAUGUACUUGCCAUUUCUAACUUACCAUCGUUUAGGUAUUCACAGAAUAAAUAAGAAGGUGAUGUGCCACACCAGGAAUAUCAUCAUGGAUUUGUGCUGUAAUCCUUGCCCUUGCCAGCUCACAACUAGUCAGGAGUUGCUUGGGAGAGAACAACUGCUUGCACAGUAACAUCUCGAUAUAUGGAUGUCAGUAAACAUCUGGAUUAUCUUGUGGGUGCUGUGCAGUAAGAUACACUAUUACGACUGUAAGUAAUACAAAUUGGACACUUGCUAAAGUAACCCUCAAAAUGCCAGCAGAAGCAUGGAAUUCCAAGCUUCUAACGCAUCAACAAAAUCAAUCAAUGGAUGAAUUUCCACAUCCACUUUCAAAGUUUUUGGUCCAUGUACUACCACACUGAAAUAAAGCUUGUGAUAAAUCUCAAAACUAUUCUUAAUAUGUUAAAGUAGGUUUGUAUCAAUGAUAUGAAUCACAACGUACUAAAAUAAACACUUAAAAACAAGUAAUUUUCCUCUCUUUCUGAUUUGUUUCUUGUGUUCUUUUAAACUUUUUUGAUUUUAUUUCUAGUACUUAUUAACAUUUUUGCCAGGUUCCUCUGUACAUUUUGGAAAUGAGGCCCAAAAUUAAAUAACCUGACAACUAACUGAGCUGAUUACAGAGAGUGCCUUUUGUUUAGUCACUAACCACUGGAAGUCUGAACAAUGUUGUGAUCAUAUAGAUAUGACCAUUUUAGAUUAACAAACACAGGUGUUUCAGAGUUUUUGUUCGCAGAAUAACUAAAUGACGAGGAAUAACUUGAGUAAAUACUGCGAUUGAUUUUUGUGUGAUGAUUUAUAUGAACCUGGAGUUCACCAUAAACAUUCAACUAAAUCCGAGCAAAGCCACAACCUGUGAGCAAGUAUAGUUUCCGGGACCCUUGGUUCCAAUGUGGAACCAAGUUGAGAUGCUUGGAUAACUCAAGCCAACCUCAAGGAUUAUGUGACAGCCAAGAGGGAGACGCGGUUGUCUGUCCUCCAUGGGAAGGAAAGUGUAGUCAGAAUCAGAAGCUUAGAGGAAAAAUCAAACCAGCCAAACAAAAAAAAAAUGGAGGAAAUACUGCGGAAUUGAAAUCUAGAGCCCCUUUUCCAGAGAAUUCAUCAGUGACCUCAACUACUUGUUAACUGUCAAUGACCCUGAAAAACUGCAAUUGCAAAAUUCCACUAAUUAUACUUUCCACAUUGAACUCAUGCUUGGCAAAUGGAAAGCUUAGUAUACUAAAGCAAGUACGACAAUCUCAUCAGGUAUUUUCUGGUCAGUGCAAUCCAUGUAUUAGGCACUCCCAUUUGACAAAAGACCAUGUUUCAAUGUGCUCCAUUCUAACACUUGCAAAACUACAUUUAAUUUUCUAUGCAACAAAAAUCAAGAGUUACAAUGCAAUUAUUAUUCAUGCACCAGAAGGCUGAUCUUCAAAAUAAAUCACUUAAUGACACUCAUACAUGAAAUCCAACACAUUAAUUGUAUCAAAAUUGAUUUAAUUAUAAGUUUGAUAUGAACUAGUGUUGUAUUCUUGAUUUUGUGGGAGAAAUGUGCAUGCCGUACAUAUCUACUCUUGAUCAUUUGUGUUUUAUUUCCUGUAUUUAUAUUCAAAGGAAAUGGAAGAAAAUUCUAUUUUUUUCCAGUCAAAAUCCAACAAUGUAGUUAGGAAACUUUGGGUUUAAUUGAACUGAAUCAGCCAAACAACUAUAUAUACAACUCAUACGUUUCAGCAAAGGGAAGCAGUAUAAUACUUUAAUGCUAUAACAUUUCUCAUGAAGUAUAAUGUACCCCAUUAGCUGCACCUUUGGUGGUUCCUUCCUUGUAGAAUUUCAUUCUACUACCUGUAUCUGACACAGCCAGCCGAAGGUCUGCUCAACACUGAUGAUGCCUGGGGCUGCAAGAGAAGAUGAAUGGUUUUCUGCACCGCAUGGAAAAGCAACUGCAUGUGUCAAACUAGAACAAUGUUGAGUUUUAGCAAGUUUGGCACUAAUUUCGGGGAAGGUAAUUAUUGGAUUUAAUCCUAAAAUCAGAAGCAGAAGCUUUCAUUUUAAAGAAGAACUUAAUACCUCUGACUCGUACUUUUUCACAAAUAUUGCUUAUGUUUUGUGCUAAGUAUGAAUCUGGUAUGAAUUGUACAACUGCAGGACUUUAAUGUUUCACUUGUCUGAUGCAUAAUACAUCUAACAAAACAAAAUGUAAUUUUUAAAUUGCCAAAUAUGAACACAUCAUUUUGUACAUGGUUUAUAGGAGCAAGAUUUUACUAUGACUAUAAAUCACAUGUAUUGUACACAUUGAGUUGGCACAGUUAGCUACUUUCAAUGUAUGUAUAGUUUGAACUAAGGCCAGGUGGAUAAAUAAGCACCACAUGUACCAGAAAGCUUUAGAAAAAUAAAUUUCAGUUGUAGGAAUGGCUACUGAACAGCAGAUUUUGCUUCAUUGUUUAAAACUCUGGAAUGGUAAUUAGUUACCAUGAAAAACAAAAUGUAUGAAGAAGCAAUUAAAGAUUGUUUGUUUGUAAAAGUAAA